rnacentral:lncRNA from 1 species
AAAUGCCCCGAAACAAUUUGGAUGAAACCAGGAGCCAAUGGGAACAAGGGCCGCGGCCGCCCUGGAUCACACGAUUGGCUGGAGGACAAAGCCCCGCCUCCUCAGGGGCGGAGUCAGACACAGAGAGCAGUAGCACUGAGAGUGAGGUCCGUACUAAACUGACAGGGGCGGGCUCCGUCAGGGUCUUCCCCUCCUCCUCCCUGAUCCAGCAGCGAAUCACAGAUAUCGACCAACGGAAGGAGGAGCUUAGGAUCCAGCUUCAGCUGGAGAUUGCCUUGCUGACGGGCGAGCUACAGACCGAAAGACAGCAGCUGGAGAGACAGCGAAAGACCCUGGAGGAGCAGCACAAGAAGCCCUCGGUCCCCCCCAGACCCACGGAGAAGGAGGCGAUGGAGGCGGCGGUUCGGGCGUUCGAGGACUGGGAGUUCAGCAUCCUGGAGAGCGAGAGCAGGUUGGAGGAGGAGGAGGAGGAAGUGGAGGAAGAGGAGGCAGAUGAGGAGGAGGAGGAUGCGGGAGGAGAUCUGUCCGUCCAGCAGCAGCAGGCGAUUAGCUAUGGACAGGAGCACGUCCAUCAUCUGGAGAGGCAGUUGAAGGAGGUGGAGCGAGAGAAGGAGAGGGAACUGAACGCCCUGAGAAGAGAGAAGAGAGACCUGCUUCACGCAACCCAGAUGAUGCUUAAAGAGAAGAAGCCGCUUGCUGAUUGGUCGAAUAUCACUGGCUCCGCCCCCUGCAUGAUAUCCCUGUCGCCCAUGGCCAACAACAAACAAACCAAGGAACCUUGUCAGGAGUUCUCCAGUUUACCACGGAGGCGACAUCCCCACGGAAACCAUCUCCAUGACAAACAUCACAAUGAGAGGCCUCUCUCAGCUCAAGGGUUUAUUCGCUCUCGUCCGGACCAAAGUCCCGGCUUCACCUCCUCAUCCCUGAGACUCACCAAGGGCAAUCGGGUCUCUCAGAGGUCCUCCUUUAGCAGCCGAAGUGUUGGCGUGCUAAACGCUAACGGCAGUAGCCGUAUAGCAAGUCAGUCCCCGGGGCUGGGCGACCUGCUGGAGAUGGAGAGGAGGCUGCAGGCUGCCAGGGCUGAGAGGGAGAGGCUGCUGAGAGAGAGGGUGAGCCUGGAGCACAGAGCCCCCCAAAACACACGCUAG